AUAAAACGGGAAUAAAGUUUGUUCCUUGGGUAUUCAGUGUUAGAGCUAAGAGAAAUACAAAAAACAAACAGAAGCCCAGAAAUGCUAACCUAACCUAGGGGCUUCCAUUUAGACAUGUAGAUCCCUCUCUAAAAAUUUCCUGAGAAGUAGUAGAGUGAAGUCCCAUUGGCUUCAAUAAUACUGGGGACUACUGCAUUUCUAGAAUUUGGCAUUUUUAUUACGGAGACUUUUUUUUUUUUUUUUAAUGGCUGAGGUGAUCUAAGAGCACAUAUGUCAUUGACUUUAUAUAGAGAUGGUGUCACCAAAUCACAUAGGUGCUUUCCAAAAUCUCACCUCAGAUUGUCAGCCCGUAGAACUCACUUCUGGAUGUUUGAAAUACAGAACUGUCUAUCUUUCAAGUUAUUUUCUUCUUAAGGCAGAACAAAUCUUUGUGAAGCAAAGCAGGCAUCUCUUGGAACUUGUUUCCAUAACAACCUCCCAGACUGUUUCUCUGUACCUUGUGACUUUGGCUAAAAGCAAAAGCACUCACUGAAUAUUUUCAGUGCUCAGAUCUGAGUACCCCAUCUUUAUAGCUGUUUUCUUUGCUUACUGAAGAAGAUCCGAUCACCUUAUAUCAUGUACAACUGCUCUGUCCAGCUCAAAACUGACAGACUAUUACCAGCACUGGAAAACAGACAUGCAAAUGAGAAGAAGGGAAAGGACUUUUAUUUGUGUAUCUUUGCACAAAGAAAGGUGGAGAGUGUGUAAAGGAUUUCUGAGCCCUCACAGUCAAGGAGUUGGGGGGACACCAGGCCUCCAGAUUUGGAGUCAUCUGGGUACCCAGUGACAAGGAACAUGAGCUAAAGCAUCUCAUAAAAAAACCAAACAACAACAAACAAAACACAGAAACUCCUCUUUCAAUAAUCUUGUUAGGAAAUAAAGACUUGCUGUGAAAGAGGGUUGUUUCCUGUACCCUUUGCUGUUGUUCUGUGACCAUCAGUUCCCUAAAUCAGUCAUUUCCCCACAGGAGGUUAUGCACCAAAUCAGGGCAGGGCAGAAACCAUCUUGCUGGAGGUGGGGAAGGAAGGAAGAGAAGAAUUUUAUUGAGGACAACUUUUUUAUCCACAGCUCAUCACCCACAUAGGAGAUUGUAAGUGUGAAAGGCAUGAAGAGGUUUUUUGUGGUCCUUCAAAAUACACAUUACUGUUGGUUCCUAUGAAAUUUCUAGUCUGUUCCUGUGUGGAAAAUUUUUAAAUUUGGGAUUUUUGAGCAAUUUUCUGUUUUGGCUCUACUCCUUUUGCUCCAGCUUCCAUGAAUAAAGAUUCACUGUUAUGUCAGCUGUGGAGAUGAAGGUGACUGGACUUAAUGUUCUCUGCGAGGCCCAUCCAUUCAGUGUACAAAUACCCCUGUGGAGAUAAAGAAGAGUGAGUAUAAAGGAAAUUCAGGGCAGCAAGAGGCAGGAUAAGGAUUUGAGUGUCUUCCAUACUGUGGUGGAAAGAGCAGCAUCAUUCCUCAAAGCAAAGGAACAAACAGCUCCAGUAUCUGCUGUUGUAGCAGAAGUAGAUCCUGUUUACAUCAGGGAAAGAUUUGCAGAUUACAGCAAGAGUUAACCACAGCUUUCCCAAAAGCUAUCAUCUGAGCUGAAUCCAAGCUGGACUCUGGAUGCUUCAAGGCUGUCAUGUUGGGAUGCUGCAAAAGACAUUGUUUCAUUGUUGUGUUGCAGAGUUGUUGAAGUUACCCUCUGUGCAGAGAACGCAGCAGUUAUGGACAGGAAACUAUUUUCCUUGCUUAGUGGUUUUUUUACUGCUGUUUUUAAAUGGGCUAACACUCUUAGUUCCAGGAAACUCAAACUAGAUGUGAACAAGGAUCAGGAGGAUGGAGGGAGAAUCCCUUACAAGAUUUAAAUGUAUAUGAUGUCUGAGAAAAUCAAACUAAAUAGUUUCCAGCAGCAAUUUAGAGCUGUUCAGAAAAAGAUCCAGACAAGCCUGGAGUACUAUGGGAAGCUGCAAAUGAACACAAGGUGCUUCCAAAAGAUGUUAUUAGUGGCACCUAUUUUAAACCAUCUUUCAGGUGGAAGAUCCAGGCCUGGCAAAUGCAUAACAUCAGCCCUUAGAAGAGCAAAUAACUUUCUCUAAAGAGCUGAACAAUUGACCAAAGUCUGUCCAUCUAUCUUCCUAUCUCUGUGCUCUAGAUUACUGUGCUUUAUAAACUGUGUUCUUAUAACUCAGAUAAAUGGUAGGAGUACAAGUAAUAAACAUUCUAUUCAUCCUCAAUAUUUGUAAUAUCUAAGAGAAGAGCCAAAACUGGAGAUAUUUCUCUUUUCCCUGUGAAGUGUGUUGCUUUAGCAUAUAUAUAUAGCCAAUUCUUGUUCUGAACAUGUGAACCCAUUGCCUAUUUUAAAGGCUAUAACAAUCUAGUUUCACUAGCUGCAGAGAAUUUCACUGAAAUAGCACCAUUCAUUGCCUUUUGUGUGAUUUAGAAGGCGUGUUACCCAGAUAGUUCUGAAAGUGUAAUAUAAUUUUAUGCAUUAUUCAUGGGAAAUGCUCUAAAGUCUUCUCCCAUUGUGAUAAAAACCUUUAUCAUUCCUCAAGCUCCAUGAGUCUGUGCUAUGCUGUGCUGAAUCUGAUAGCAAACUCAGUUAUUACUGAACAGUGAGGAGUAGGAACUGAUCCUCUGGCCUGGAAUCCCCUUCCUUGGCAAUGGCAAAAGUCAUCUGUGCAUGCAAAGAUUAUUGACCAAAGGUGGAUCUACACUGAGUAUGUUAUCAGCUCUUCACAUAGCUGAGUGGGAAUGGAUAAGGGAAUAUUGAUUGUGGGAGGGAAGAGACUAGGGGGAAUAGCUGAGUAAAGGGGAUUCUGGGCAUUAUGACUGGUAUCUUCAGCUCUGGUAUCAAUCCAGCUCUGAUGGAUUCUGGUCAUCUUAUUCUGCAAAGACUCUUUAUCAAUAACACCCUCCACAUUUUAGCCUCUCUAGCAAUCAACAUUGUUGAUAUGUGUGGGAAAAGAGGCAGAAGAUAGCUUACUUUAAUGUGAUAACUCUUGACACCUGUAAGAGUCUAGGGCUGUAAUACUUCUCCACGGCUGCUGGCUGAGGAGGGUCUGAUGCGCUUUUGAUCUGACUCUUCUUAACUCUCUGUGUCCUGAUCUGUGUGGCAAGGCCAUGGCUGACAUGGGGCAGUCAGAGCUACCAUGGACCCCUUUUGUAAGGGUGGAUGGUAUUCAAAGCUAAUCAAUCUAAGCACAGGCUGCCUUUAGAUAGGCAUGAAAAUUCUGCAACAGUCUAUGGGUUCCCUUCAGACACAGGACACAGGCCAGUCUGUGCUUUGUGCCAGUACAAACAGCAGGGAUGUUAGUUACAAGAGCCCUUUGUUUUUGAGGUGAAGCUUUGCUUGAGGUGAAACUUUGCUUGUAUGUAUUAUUUCAAGGAAAAUAGUUGGGAAUUCCAGGCCAGAUCACGUGAUGAUAUAACUAAUUCCAACUCCUUCAUUAGUGAUAGGUUGAUUUCCACAAGUCUGGCCCAACGUUUCUGAGAAAUUGUGGAUGACAGAGCUUUUUGUUUGUUUAUUUGUUGCAUUUGAAAAGCAAAAGCCUUUUAAAUAUAAUGUGUGAGGUAAACCAGAUUUGUACAUAGACCAUUGAAAAUGCACAACUUCAGGCUGUAUUCUGGAUUAAAACUUUAGGAAUGUGAGUUUUUGUAGAAAGUCCCACAUGUAAUGGGAGAAGAGCAUUUUAGACUAGUUAACCAAGGAGAUGGGACUCAGCUGAGCUUUGAACAGCGGUAAUUGUCCUUAUUGGUGAUGCCAUAAUACACGCUUGACUCAAACUUUGCUCAAAUGGAACUUUGCACAGGCCAGACUCUGAAGAACCCAUGCAACUUGAUAUUUGUGGUUGUUUGUACUACCGUGGUCCACUUUUAAGUAGGCCAGACAUAUGAAUAAA